CACCUUGACCUCUUCUGACCACACCCUGACCCCACCCUGACCUCCCACCCUGACCCCAGCCCGACCCCACCUUGACCUCUUCUGACCACACCCUGACCCCACCCUGACCUCCCACCCUGACCUCUUCUGACCACACCCUGACCCCACCCUGACCUCCCACCCUGACCCCAGCCCGACCCCACCUUGACCUCUUCUGACCCCACCCUGACCCCACCUUGACCUCUUCUGACCCCACCCUGACCCCACCCUGACCUCCCACCCUGACCCCACCCUGACCCAGGAGGUGUUGCGUCAUCCUAACCUUGUCACAACAGUCCUGUCCAGCUGCUCAUCUAGUUACACUCUGGCUUUAAUGGGAUUUAUUUACUUUUUAUAUAUUUUUUUGCACUAGUUUAUUUUUUUUACGUCUGAUUUCGUGAAACCGUGCCAUAAAAUUGAAAUCCUCUAAAGGACACCGGUGAGAUGUAUUUCCUGGUAACAACCUCCGUAGAAGAUGGCUGGAGGUGUUGACGUCCAUAUUUGCCUGCAGAUGGAUGACCUCUCUGUGGCCUGCAGAUGAGUGGGUGAAGGACCCUAAUACACGCCCAGUCAUUCUGUGAGCUGACGUCCCUCUGAGCUAGUUAUUGUAGUUCACUGAGCUGGUUAUUGUAGUUCACUUCAGCGAUACCCAAAGACACGGAAGCAAUAGAUCCCAACAGCCUCGGAGCAUCCUGGGACAGGUAGCGUCCUCUCUUCCCUUGUCACACACACUCUAACACAUACACACACCUCCACGCUGCAUACAGGUCCCCUGAAGAGAAAAAUUAAACAGUAAUAAACUGUUUAUUAAGUAAUAAACAUUCUUAAAUUAGAAAAAAAGAAAUACAUUUGUAUUCUGUCUUUAUUUUUCUCACUUGUUAAAGUGUGGAGAAGUACAGGUUGGGAGGGGAUAGCUAGCUAGGUGAUAGCUAGCGGCAGGUUGGGAGGGGUUAGCUAGCUAGGUGAUAGUUAGCGGCAGGCUGGGAGGGUUAGCUAGCUAGGUGAUAGCUAGCGGCAGGUUGGGAGGGGUUAGCUAGCUAGGUGAUAGCUAGCGGCAGGCUGGGAGGGUUAGCUAGCUAGGUGAUAGCUAGCGGCAGGCUGGGAGGGUUAGCUAGCUAGGUGAUAGUUAGCGGCAGGCUGGGAGGGUUAGCUAGCUAGGUGAUAGCUAGCGGCAGGUUGGGAGGGGUUAGCUAGCUAGGUGAUAGCUAGCGGCAGGCUGGGAGGGUUAGCUAGCUAGACACCUCACAGGUUUGGUUUUUUUCCUUUUUUUGUUUUGCAAAAGAUGUAAGUUUGUUUUCAAUUCUCUGUACAGUGUACAUAGCUAGGUUGUUAAAAUGCCCAUUUUGUAGAUAUUGCAAUCCCCUAUUGCCUCUUGGCUGUUUUUGAUGUGGUUAUGACCACGGAAACAUUCUUUUUCUUUUCUUUUUUUGACUUUUCAGUUGAAGUGUUUUUAUUUCAAUUUUUUGUUAUUCACAAUUGCUUUGAAACAUAACUACACUUACAAUGUACAAAUCUGAUAUUGUAGAUGAAAUUUGCACGGUAUUAAAUCACAACAAUUAGCAUUUCAUCGAAUCUUCUGAUGCCAUUGUCUUUCUAGUUUGGAAAUGUUUUAGUUUUGAGUAAUCAUUUUGCAGGUCUAUUCCAGAGUUUUAGGCGGGAUUCAGAACAGAACAGGUCUAACUGACUGUACAAAAUGAGUUAUUUUUUAACAGCUGUUUGUUUGUUUGUUUUUUAAUCAAUGCUGGAAAUAAAAAGAAUAUUGAUGG